GGGUCAACUAGUUCAUAUUGUACACGACACGCCAGAAAGACUUUGAUGGGUCAUUGACACCACCAAUUAAGGCUUUAUUGCACUCAUUGCAUAUAUUAAGUUUUGGAGGCUUUAGACUUCCUGAUGAUCAAGAAUUGCAUCUCUACUAUGAGGACUGCUAUCAACCCUUCUGGAUGAAGAUACCGCAUGAAACAUGUGUACAGACUGGAUAACUAGUAUGGCUGUCCGCAUUAUUUGUCUUGCACUGGAACCACCACCAUAAUUCUCAGCAGGGGGUGAUAACGGCAACUGCAUUUCAAGGUCCAUAUGAGGAUCAUUAACCUCUUGCAUCCUGUACAGUACAGCACAAAUCCAACUAUAAAUAGGCACACAAUAUACAGAUUAAUAUUAUGAUAUGCCAGAAAUUAUUUUUUGGUAACAAAAACCGUGAUUGAUGACCUACCUUGUUCAAAGACAGAGAGAAAUAGAAAGAUGCUGCGAAUGCUUGCUAUGUAAAGGCCAAAGGGUGUGUAAUUAUAUAUAGGCAGAAAAGAGAGAAGAGGGAUACCACACGCGGCAUGGUGCAUGGUUGUGUUAUUACUUUUAAAUUUCAAGGAUAUUCAAUUACAGCAUCCAUGAAAUGCAACAAUCAUAUCUACGAAAGUCUAAUAGAUAUUGCAACGAAUAUACACGAAUAAAAAGUAUGUAUGAUUGGUCAAUUUGUCGACAAUGAAAUAUGCAAAUGUUAUAUAUA